rnacentral:rRNA from 1 species
GAUGAACGCUGGUGGCGUGCCUAAUACAUGCAAGUCGAGCGAAGCGGGGACGGGUGAGUAACACGUGGAUAACCUCCUAUAAGACUGGGAUAACUUCGGGAAACCGGAGCUAAACCGGAUACUUAUAGAUGGAUCCGCGCUGCAUUAGCUAGUUUGUAAGGUAACGGCUUACCAAGGCAACGAUGCAUAGCCGACCUGAGAGGGUAGACACCCCCACUGUAACGGAGACACGGUCCAUACUCGUCCUAGAAUCAGAAUUACAUAAUCUUCCGCAAUUGGCGAAAGCCUGACAGGGCAAAGCCGCGUGUGUGAUGAAAUUCUUCGGAUCCUAAAACUCUGUUAUUAAGGAAGCGAUACCUAAUCAGAAAGCCACGGCUAACUACGUGCCAGCCGCCGCGGUAAUUC